AUUGAACGCUGGCGGCAGGCCUAACACAUGCAAGUCGAACGAGUGGCGGACGGGUGAGUAAUGUCUGGGAAACUGCCUGAUGGAGGGGGAUAACUACUGGAAACGGUAGCUAAUACCGCACACACUCAGAUGUGCCCAGAUGGGAUUAGCUUGUUGGUGGGGUAAAGGCACACCAAGGCGACGAUCCGUAGCUGGUCUGAGAGGAUGACCAGCCACACUGGAACUGAGACACGGUCCAGACUCCUACGGGAGGCAGCAGUGGGGAAUAUUGGACAAUGGGCGUAAGCCUGAUGCAGCCAUGCCGCGUGUAUGAAGAAGGCCUUCGGGUUGUAAAGUACUUUCAGCUGGGAGGCGUUACCCGCAGAAGAAGCACCGGCUAACUCCGUGCCAGCAGCCGCGGUAAUUC
rnacentral:rRNA from 1 species